rnacentral:pre_miRNA from 1 species
AUCUACUCCAUCUAUCCAAAAAAAAAUAAUAUAGGAGGGGAUGUGAUCCCUCCUAGUACAACGAUAGAACGAAUCUGUAUAAUGAAUCUGGACUGUCCAGAUUCAUCAUUCUAGGAGGGAUCACAUCCUCUCCUAUGUUGUUUUUUUUUGGAUGGAUGGUGUACAU